UUUCCUUCUGGGGGCCUUUUGGUUAAAAACAAAGUGUAGUAUCGUUUUUUAACAGCUUAAUACCUGAUAUGAUCCCCAGGGGGGGUUUUUCCCGUAUUAAUCGUUUUUUUGAAUCAGGGAAAAAGUGCUGGGGGCUUGUUUCCACCCUUUGCCGGGAUGGGCCCGGGUAUUGCAGCCCCUCUGGGUUUGGGUCCACUCCC